rnacentral:rRNA from 1 species
GACAGAGGGUGCAAACGUUGUUCGGAAUUACUGGGCGUAAAGCGCGUGUAGGCGGCCCUGCAAGUCGGAUGUGAAAUCCCACGGCUCAACCGUGGAAGUGCAUUCGAAACUGCAGGGCUAGAGUCCUGGAGAGGAAGGUGGAAUGCUUGGUGUAGAGGUGAAGUUCGUAGAUAUCAAGCGGAACACCGGUGGCGAAGGCGGCCUUCUGGACAGUGACUGACGCUGAGGCGCGAAAGCGUGGGGAGCAAACAGG